rnacentral:rRNA from 1 species
UACGUAGGCAGCGAGCGUUGUUCGGAGUUACUGGGCGUAAAGGGUGUGUAGGCGGUUGUUUAAGUUUGGUGUGAAAUCUCCCGGCUCAACUGGGAGGGUGCGCCGAAUACUGAAUGACUAGAGUGCGGGAGAGGUGAGUGGAAUUCCUGGUGUAGGCGGUGAAAUGCGUAGAUAUCAGGAGGAACACCGGUGGUGUAGACGGCUCACUGGACCGUAACUGACGCUGAGACACGAAAGCGUGGGUAGCAAACAGG